UCAAGCACUCGGCACACAUGCAAAAUGUCUCUGGAGGAGUUUUCUAGUUCAUCCAACUGUUUAUUUCUUUCCUCCCAUCUAGAAGAAACAAGUCCUUCACACAACAACGUGAGUGCGGUGAGAGACCAGAAGACAGAGCGCAGAUUUCAGCUGCGGCACACACACGACCAGCAGAGCCGCACGAUGACGUCCACUACACCAGCGUCUGCUUCACCCAGAACCGGGCAGAUGCCAUCUACUCCAACAUAGGUCGAGUUCAACCCCAGAGAGAAACUGAGGAAGACAAGGAGGAGGCUGAAUACAGCGCUGUUCGAUUUGACAGUGCAACAGGAACAAGACGUGAAGAAGAGGGGGACGAUUCAUCAUCAUGUUCUUCUUCUCCCAUAAUUGAAAAUAUUUCCCAGGCUCAACCAGGUGUAGAGUUAGCCUCAGGUUAG